AAAGAGAUUCUUAGCUUCUUUUUAAUUGUCAAGUUAUUCUUUGGAAUUAAUUCAGCAUAUAUUUUUGCAUCUCAGGAAUUAUAUUCAUCACUGCAUCUCAAAAAGUACUCUGUUGUAUGAUAACAGCAUUUUAAAGAACACUCUUCAAUGGUUGUGAUUUUCAGUUGCCAUAACACACAUUAAAUUACAUUGUUGGCCAAUCUGUCCAUGAUUAUUUCAUUGUCUUACAUUUCAAACAGACAAGGAAAUAUUGGUGAUGCAAUGAAGAGUUUGAUGAUAAAAUAUAAUUACUGUUACGGUUUCCUCUUGGACGAAAUAUUCUCAUCAAAUUGACUGGUCAAGGAAAUGGGACACUGACUGUAAAAAGCAUUGGAAAUGCUGUUAAUUUUUUGCACGGCGAGCUGCAGAAUAUUGACCAGUCUCACACCAUUGCCAUCACCUUGCCCUUGCAGAUGCGGAUAAAGUUCUCCAAGCUGACAGAAAUUGAAAGCACUCGCAUCCUGUGACGAUGGGGUAGGAGUGGAAGAAUCAGAGUGUUUCUUUGAAAAUUGGCUUGAUGUGUCUGUCCAAGGGUCAUCUGGAGGAAAAAAUACAAGUGUUGAACUCCAUCUGCCACCUCUCAGCCCAUCUGCAGCGAGCAGCAGCGGAGGCAAGACGGACCCGGAAGACUGCAGCUAAGGUAAAGCAGUUUAUUUUUAAAAUUACUUACCGGUAGCGGGCAGCGGUGUUUUUUUUUCCUCUCAGACAAGGAGUGGGAGCAGCAGAGGAAGUGACGAGGACCAGAGGGGCAGCCGGGAAGGAAAGCAGUGACCAUAUAUAUCAGCAAGGCGGCUAAACCCGAGGCUCUACAACUGUAGUGUCUCCCACCCGCCCUCCUCCUCUAACCUAGUUAAUAAGAUAUCUUCAAACAAGUAGCUGAACCCACAGAUUUAUGUGACCAACGAAGCCUGAGCCUUUUGCUUCACGAUGCAGUCCAGAUCCCUCGGCAGCUGGG